CACCUCUCAGGGUCGCACCUGGAGAGUUUCCAGUACUCUACCAGUCUUGACUACGGGAGGGAGAAUCAAGCAGAGGCCUAUUCAUUCCAUUCCUAACUUGGCCACUGGCUAAUGAGUGGCAGGCAAUCUGCUACAAGU